AUUGAACGCUGGCGGCAGGCCUAACACAUGCAAGUCGAGCGGAUGAGUGGAGCUUGCUCCAUGUUUCAGCGGCGGACGGGUGAGUAAUGCCUAGGAAUCUGCCUGGUAGUGGGGGACAACGUUUCGAAAGGAACGCUAAUACCGCAUACGUCCUACGGGAGAAAGCAGGGGACCUUCGGGCCUUGCGCUAUCAGAUGAGCCCAGGUCGGAUUAGCUAGUAGGUGAGGUAAUGGCUCACCUAGGCGACGAUCCGUAACUGGUCUGAGAGGAUGAUCAGUCACACUGGAACUGAGACACGGUCCAGACUCCUACGGGAGGCAGCGGUGGGGAAUAUUGGACAAUGGGCGAAAGCCUGAUCCAGCCAUGCCGCGUGUGUGAAGAAGGUCUUCGGAUUGUAAAGCACUUUAAGUUGGGAGGAAGGGCAGUAAGUUAAUACCUUGCUGUUUUGACGUUACCAACAGAAUAAGCACCGGCUAACUUCGUGCCAGCCGCCGCCGUAACAC
rnacentral:rRNA from 1 species